rnacentral:tRNA from 1 species
UUCCUGUAGUUGAUUAACAACGGUGGUUUUUCAAGCCAUUGGUCCUGGUUAGAAUCCUGGUAGGAAUG